rnacentral:rRNA from 1 species
GACGAACGCUGGCGGCAUGCCUAAUACAUGCAAGUCGAGCGAACAGAUGAAGUGCUUGCACUUCUGACGUUAGCGGCGAACGGGUGAGUAACACGUAAGGAAUCUACCUAUAAGCGGGGGAUAACAUUCGGUAACGGGUGCUAAUACCGCAUAAUAUCUUCUUCCGCAUGGAAGAAGAUUAAAAGACGGCUCUGCUGUCACUGAUAGAUGACCUUGCGGUGCAUUAGUUGGUUGGUGGGGUAACGGCCUACCAAGACGAUUAUGCGUUGCCGACCUGAGAGGGUGAUCGGCCACACUGGGACUGAGGCACGGCCCAGACUCCUACGGAAGGCAGCAGUAGGAAAUCUUCCGCAAUGGACGAAAUUCUGACGGAGCAACUCCUCGUUAGUGAUGAAUGUUUUCGGGUCGUAAAACUCUGUUAUUAGGGAAGAACAAGUGCUAGUUGAAUAAGCUGGCACCUUGACGGUACCUAACCAGAAAGCCACGGCUAACUACGUGCCAGCCGCCGCGGUAA